GGUGGCAUGGCUCAUUAGUAGAGCACCUCUAACAAGCAUCAGAUCCUGAGUUCAAAUCCCAGUGCUACCA
rnacentral:tRNA from 1 species